GAUCGCCGUGGUGGCCGUGAUGUGCAAACCCCACCGGUGCCCCCACAUCAACUUCACGGGAAACAUCUGUGUGUACUGCCCAGGGGGCCCUGACUCUGAUUUUGAAUAUUCCACCC